CUCUGAAAGGAAUGCCUCAUCCAAAUUUUUCUUUGGUUUAGAGAAAAAGAAUGGACAAAGAAGAAUUAUUCAUUGCCUCAAAUCAGCUGUUGGACAGGAGCUCACUAGCCCAAGUGGAAUUAUAAAGAGGACAGUAGAGUUCUAUGCUGAGCUCUACAAGUGACGAGUGCGUCACUUGAGUGGGUUGAGUCACUGACGUGAUCUUCCUGUCCGGCUUGGCGCCCCCCCCCCCUUGGGUUGUGCCGUGGCGGAGAUCUUCGCGGGCUAUACUCGGCCUUGUCUCAGGAUGGUAAGUUGGUGGUUGAAGAUAUCCCACUAGUGGGGUGGGGGCUGUGCAUUGGCAAAGUGGGUGGGGUUAUAUCCUGCCUGUUUGGCCCUGUACGGGGGAAUCGUCGGAUAGGGCCACAGUGUCUCCCGACCCCUCCUGUCUUAGCCUCCAGUAUUUAUGCUGCAGUAGUUUAUGUACCGGGGGCUAGGGUUGCUCUGUUAUAUCUGGAGUAUUUCUCCUGUCUUAUUCUGUGUCCUGUGUGAAUUUAAGUACGCUCUCUCUAAUUCUCUCUCUCUUUCUCUCUUUCUCUCUUUCUUUCUUUCUUCCUUUCAGAGGACCUGAGCCCUAGGACCAUGCCUCAGGACUACCUGGCCUGAUGACUUCUUGCUGUCCCCAGUCCACCUGGCCGUGCUGCUGCUCCAGUUUCAACUGUUCUGCCUGCGGCUAUGGAACCCUGACCUGUUCACCGGACGUGCUACCUGUCCCAGACCUGCUGUUUUCAACUCUCUAGAGAUAGCAGGAGCGGUAGAGAUACUCUGAAUGAUCGGCUAUGAAAAGCCAACUGACAUUUACCCCUGAGGUGCUGACAUGUUGCACCCUCGACAACCACUAUGAUUAUUAUUAUUUGACCCUGCUGGUCAUCUAUGAACAUUUCAACAUCUUGGUCAUGUUCUGUUAUAAUCUCCACCCGGCACAUCCAGAAGAGGACUGGCCACCCCUCAUAGCCUGGUUCCUCUCUAGGUUUCUUCCUAAGUUUUGGCCUUUCUAGGGAGUUUCUGCAUUGCUUGCUGUUUGGUGUUUUAGGCUGGCUUUCCAUACAGCACUUUGUGACAUCAGCUGAUGUAAGAAGGGCUUUAUAAAUAAAUUAGAUUGAUUGAAAUUUGAUUGAUAAAACAGUGACACAGCAGUUCCUUGAUGGGCUCCCACAGGUGGCUGCAGAAGCUCAGGUUGAACAAGAGCAACCAUUGUCUUUGCAGGAGCUAUACACUUCAUUAAAUGGCAUGGAAAAUGGAAAGGCACCAUGCAUUGAUGGGCUUCCUGUUGACUUUUUAAAGUCUUUUGCGGCUAUGUUGGGAGAGGAUUGGCUAGCAGUAGUUAACGAUAGUUUGACCGGAGGGUUACUACCGAUAAGCUGCAGAAGGGCUGUCCUCACCCUGCCAAAAAAGGGUGACCCUAUGGAGGUGAAGAACUGGAGGCCGGUGGCCUUAAUGUGCACUGAUUAUAAGAUCCUGUCCAAGGCUUUGUCCACCAGGCUGAGGGAGGUGAUGGGGCAAAUCAUACACAAGGACCAGUCCUACUGUGUUCCCGGCAGGCAGAUAGGGGAUAACAUUUCCCUGAUUCUGGAUUUUUUUGGGACGUCUCUAGGGCUAUUGGGUUGGAUGCUGGUCUAAUUUCAAUUGAUCAGGAAAAGACAUUUGACCGAGUUGAACAUCAAUACCUAUGGGGCCACUUUGGAGGCUUUUGGUUUCAGCUCUGGUUUUACUGCCAUGAUCAGGGUGAUGUAUGGUGACAUUGAAAGUGUAUUGAAAGUUAAUGGUGGCUUGAGUGCUCCUUUUAAAGUGUGUAGAGGAAUUAGGCAGGGGUGUUCAUUGUCUGGAAUGUUGUAUGCCGUCGCUAGAGAGCCACUACUAAAUAGCAUUAGAAGUCACAUUGAAGGGGUGUACCUUUCAGAGGAUAUUCUUCCUAUUCGUCUCUCAGCAUAUGCUAAUGAUGUAGUUAUUUUUGGUGAAUUUUGAUAUUUUUGAGUCUAAAAGUUGAUCGGUUUAAGGGAAUAUCUUCUGCAAAGGUAAAUUGGGGAAAAAACGUUGUGCUUUAGAGAUUGGUAAAUGGUCUGGAGGGAUCAUGACUUUGCCAGGGGGGUUGGAAUGGUGUAAGGGAGGUUUCAAGUAUCUUGGAGUGUAUCUAGGGGAUGAGAAGGCAAAAAAAAUGGAAUGGGGUGGUUGAAGUGGUGGAAGGGAGGAUGAGGAGAUGGUGUUGGCUGCUAUCUCAGGGUAUCCUAGUGGUUAGAGUGUUGGACUAAUAACCGAAAGGUUGCAAGUUCAAAUCCCUGAACUGACAAGGUACAAAUCUGUCAUUCUGCCCCUGAACAGGCAGUUCCUAGGCCGCUGUUCCACUGUACCUAG
rnacentral:lncRNA from 1 species